GAGGGGAGCGCUGUCUAGUGACACCACCUCUCCCAAGCCCAGACCCCCCGGACGGCCAGGCAGGCUCCUGUGGGCCAGACAGCAGACCUUCUAUGGCUAUCUUUGAACUGCUGGACUAUAUAGUUAAUGAGCCUCCUCCUAAGCUGCCUGGUAUUUUCGGCGCUGAAUUUCAAGACUUUGUGAAUAAAUGUUUGAUCAAGAACCCAACAGACAGGGCAGACCUGAAGCAGUUGAUGGU